AGCAGCCGCGGUAAUUCCAGCUCCAAUAGCGUAUAUUAAAGUUGUUGCAGUUAAAAGCUCGUAGUUGAAUUUCGGGAUCAGUAGGUUGGUCAUGCCUCAGGUAUGUACUGGUCUCACUGGUUCCUCCUUCCUGAUGAACCGUAAUGCCAUUAAUUUGGUGUUGCGGGGAAACUGGACUGUUACUUUGAAAAAUUAGAGUGUUUAAAGCAGGCUAACGCUUGAAUACAUUAGCAUGGAAUAAUGAAAUAGGACGUUCGAUCCUAUUUUGUCGGUUUCUAGGAUUGACGUAAUGAAUUAAUAGGGAUAGUUGGGGGCAUUAGUAUUCAAUUGUCAGAGGUGAAAUUCUUGGAUUUAUUGAAGACUAACUACUGA
rnacentral:misc_RNA from 1 species